GCUGGGAUAGCUCGGUUGGUAGAGCAUGAGACUGUUAAUCUCAAGUUUGUGGGUUCAAGCCCCACAUUGGGUU
rnacentral:tRNA from 1 species